UGUAUCUAUUAUUGCACGAUCUACUGUGCAAUAUAAAGCGCCUUGAGGCGACUGUUGUUGUGAUUUGGUGCUAUAUAAAUAAAAUUGAAUUGAAUUGAAUAACUGUUCACUGGCAUUUAAAAGUUCAGUUCUUAUUUAAAAAUGUACAUAUUUUUAUUUUAUAUUUUAUGCUUUACAAUUUUAGUUUUAAUGUUGUUUACUCCAAACAGUGAUGGCAACAGCAGUUUUGGCCAGAAGCAGAGGUGUUUUCAGCACCAUCAAAGUCCUGUUCCUCAUGUUCACCCUGCUGUGUCUCAUUUGCCUUUCAACUUCACUGACAAACAAGAACCAACUGGAGUACAAGUCAGACAUGUUGAAAGCUUCAGAGCUGGUAGAUGAUUAUCUGGCUGUCAUCGACCCAGUGAUAGCAGUGUUCAAGAAAACUGAUGCGCUGGUUGGUGAAACAGAUCCUGACACAGAUAUGGAGGACCUUAAGGUUUCCAUGGAAGAAACCAAAGCUGAAAUAGACCUCAUAAAUGAAGAGCUUGAUGAAGGAAUUACAUUGAAGGAAAAGCAACUAAGAAAGAUGAAGACAUUGAUCGAAUACAUUGAGGAGCAGCACACUGAACUGUAACUUUUAUGUAAACCGAUAAAAGUUAUGAUUCACAUGUGCUGCACACCUUUUACUAGAACUUCCUUUGAAACUAUGAAUUAUUUUUGCCUGUUUGAAAACUUGUAGUGAAUACAUUGAUACAAUUUAAAUACAACUAUCAAAAUAUUUGAAAAUAUAAACAAUGUCAAUGUAAAAUAAUACAAAAUAAAAACAUUUACUUUAUAUUGAUAUUCUGUUACUUAUGUCAGCGACAGACAAAACUAAUGACAGACAUCUUGACCUGGCAUAGGUUCAAUUGUCCUGGUAAGGCAUGAAAGUGAACUGCUCCCAAACAGAAUAUUUUUUCUGAAAUCUCUACGCCAUAAAUACAUUCCUGUUUUUGUCUUCUGUAAUGUCAGCUAUGAAAAUGGUCUAUACAUGAAUAACUAAGUUUUGUCUUCUAUAUUAGAUAAUAGAAACUGGGAUAAAUUAUAGGGUUUGUCUUCUUUUUAAGAAAUUGUUAAAACAUUCUGUACAUGAUUAGAUAAAUGCAUCUGUUCUGUGAAUAAAUGAAGGUUUCUUUAAAUUGUCUUACAUGUCUUUGAAAGACUGAAAUCCGCAACAGAUUGCAAAUCUAAAUCUAUGUUAGCUUAAGCCAUCUGAUCAGACCACUGAGGCUUGAGGGGAAAGCAAGAAGAAAGAAGAGAAAG
rnacentral:lncRNA from 1 species